rnacentral:rRNA from 1 species
UUUWAGCAUAUUCAUCAGUGGAGGAACAGCAAGCAACUGCGAUUGCUUCAGUAACGGCGAGUGAACAGGCAAGGACAGGGCUCUGCCCAGACGUGAGUUCCCCUCUCUGGCCCGAACCCUCACGCGUGAGCGGUGACGGUCAUGAUCGGCUAUCAUGGAAUCUCUGCAAAUGCUGUGGGCUGUGGAGCGGCCGGCUGUGCUGUCGACGACUGUGGCAUCUGGAAUAGUCCCUGGAACGGGCAGUCAAAGCGGGCGAGAACCCCGUACGGUGAAGUGCCAUGGUCGUGCGGAUGGUGUGGCUGGUCGCAUCCAGGAGUAGAGCUGUUUGGGACUGCAGUUUGAAGCGGGAUGUGUAUCCAUCCCAAGGCAGAAUACAGACCAGAGACCGAUAGCGCACAAGUAGAGUGAUCGAAGGAUGCAAAGAACUCAGCGACGAGGGUUAAAAGUUCCUGAAGCCUCGGCAGGAAUGGCGGUGGAUGAUGCUGUGGGUUUCGCUUCGUCCUUGUGGCAGCAGCCGCUGACCACUCGGGCAUCCAAACAAGCUCCAGGCAGCCUCGGGCCAGCCUCCCGGACCGGCCACUGAGCCUUCGUACGUUCACCCUCACGGGAGAGCGGUCGCGGAGAUGUAAUCGUGGUAUCCGGAGAGUGUCAGCAAGCCUGCCCGGGCCCGAGGUUUGUCAUGACCGGUGGUGCAAAAAAAAUCUUGAUCAGACACUGAAUGAACGUUGCAGUAGCGAGUACGACACUGGCCCGCAAGGGCCAGUCAUCGGGCCCCGUUCACCCAGCCGGAUUCUCGGGAGACAAAGGCGUCAUUGAAGUGGCUGCACCGUGUUCCACGGUGGUCACUGUGAGCGUCGCUCCUCCGGUCGGGGCCUGGUGCAGAAGGCAGAUUCGAUGCCUGGCCACACACACCCUUCACGGGCUGUGUGCCAGUGCCAUCCACUGCCCGUCUUGAAACACGGACCAAGGAGUCUAUGGAGCUUGCGAAUGGUUGUCUGGCCCGCCAAAGCCAAAUCAGAGGGCAAGGUGAAAGCAACAGACCAUCCCGGACGUGCCCGCGUCAUCAACGGCACCGCAAGGGAUCACCGGACCUGCAGUCCGGCGGACGGGGUUUUGAGUGCAUGCAAGGUCCGUGGGACCCGAAAGGUGGUGAACUAUGCCAUUCCACACCGAAGCCAUGGGAAACUGUGGUGGAAGGUGGUAGCUGUUCUGACGUGCAAAUCGUGUAGCCCGAGAGUGGCAUGGGGGUGAAAGGCCAAUCGAACCACCUAGUAGCUGGUUCCCUCUGAAGUUUCCCUCAGGAUAGCUGGGCUCGACUGGUGCAAGCGACUGCACAUCCUCUACCAAAGUGGUUUUGUCCGGUAAAGCAACGCACGAGAGGCAAACACGGGGAAGACUGUUCUUCUCCACCUAUUCUCGAACUGUGAAUGGGCAAGGAAAUAGCCAGGCACACUUCCUCAACCAUGCCCGGAGUCCGCGGCGUCCUCACCGGCGUCGUGGUUCUCCACGGGCUUCCGAGUGUGUUAGCAAGCGAAGGAGAAAGCCGUCCAAUGCGGGCAGAAAAUGCUUUCCAAGAGCGAUUGAUGUGGAACACCAGGGCCUAUGUGGGCCACUACUGGUAAGCAGUGCUGGCGACGCGGGAUGCUCCGAAAGUGGAUUUCAAGAUCCAGAAUGCUGGCUCAUACUCAGAUCCCACAAAGGAUGUUGAUUGCUCUUGAUAGCAGGACGGUGGCCAUGAAGGUUGGAACCCGCUGAGGAAUGUGUAACAACUCACCUGCCGAAGCGUUCAGCUCCGAAAAUGGAUGGUGCCCAAGUCAGUGGAGACUCAUAGUCCACCGUUGCUGUGGCAGUCAUGAAGCAGAGCAUCACCGUGUAAGAAGGGCACUGGAGACUGCGGAGCCAGUCGGGGCCGCCCCCGGCUGGAGCGUCUUCAGGAGCAGAUCUUGGUUGUAGUAGCGAGUACUCCAUCGAGGGUCGGCAGAAACGCUUCGGCGUACCCUCUGCUGUGUGCGGUUGAGGACUGGAGUGGAGCAGGUUUCCACACCAACAGCCGUUGAAUGUGGGUCAACCGACCGUGAGCCAAGUGGUAAGUUCACCGAACAACCAAAGCUGCCCAAGGGUGCGUCUGGUCAGGUGCUGGCUCCCUCGGGGGUCGGCUCUGUGCCGGGCAAGCCCGGAAAGCAGGAGUGGCAAACAGGCAAGCAGUUGCAACAUUCUGCUGUGACGGGUCAGGGGCAACCCUAAAAGUGAUGAUGGCGACAUCCCACGGCAUCCUUUACCAAGCAGGCUUCGGGGCAGUGGCACCCCCAAGGAGUUGUCGUUUCCUUCUGAUGCAAGAUCCAUGUGGGCUAUGGAUUGUCAUGACAGAUGGUGCUGUAUGCCCUACGCUCAGCAAGGCAGCGUGGACUUCCACGCUGGUGGAAUAUCGAGAGGUUUCUCGCAGCAAAAAAAGGACGCAGCAAGCAAAAAAAGAUGGCCCCGCCCGCGUGCUCCAUGCUCUUCUCACGCGGUGGCCACUGGCUCCAAUGAAAGGCCUGUGAAGCUUUGUGCCCCGACCCCUUGUGGUCGUACUGAAUCACCGCAGCCGGUCUCCUCGGCAAGACGCCGCUAGUCAACGGACGAAAUGCAGCCAAGGGAAGUCGGCAAACUAGCUGCGUAACUUUGGAAGAUGCAGUGGCUCCAGAGGCCAGGACGCUGGGGACCCACCGGGAGCUGUGUGGUACGCGGGGAUAAGACCGACUCCGAUUGGGGCGCGCUCUGCGCUUCGGUUGGGACUGGACUCUCCCGCGGUCGCCGCACUGCCGCCUCUCCGGUGGGUGGUCGUGAUGUGCUUUGGCGCGUCGUGGCCAAACCCCUCGUCUCCACAGUGGCUCAUGUGGAACUGUUGCUGUGCAGGGGAAUCUGACUGUUUAAUUGAAACCCAGCUUUGUGACGGGACCAGCUGGCUGGUACCAUGAGGUGACUUCUGCCCAGUGCUCUGACUGUCAAUGCGAAGAGAUUCAGCCAAGCGCGGGUAAACGGCGGGAGUAACUAUGACUCUCUUAAGGUAGCCAAAUGCCUCGUCAACCAAUUAUUGACGCGCAUGAAUGGAUCAACGAGAUUCCUGCUGUCCCUGGUCGCUGUCUGGUGAACCAACAACCAAGGGAACGGGCUUGGAUGUGUCAGCGGGGAAAGAAGAGCCUGUUGAGA